CUGGCAGAGGGCAGCUUUGGCUGGGCACGGCGGCGAGAAGAACGUUGCACCACAACGGACCCAAACAAAAAACGCAAAUGGGGAGAGAGUGGAGCCACGAUCGGGGACAGAGGACCCGGGACGACAGCCAGCCCCUGACAAAAGCCGUAACCGCACACUUUUCGAGAGACACUGCCCUUGGCGCCCAGAACCUCCCCAAGAGGCAUCAGGAACUACAAACGGCCUCACGGUGACCAAAUUGGUGGCAGGACCCCCCCGGCACUAGUCACGGACUCUGACUUCCUGUUUCAGCUAGCUGCCCCUGACAACCCUGUCCUUGAGGCUGAGGUAGUAGAUUGAAUAGUUGUGGAGCUUCUAUAAGGCCUCCCUCAGAAAUAACUAUGCAAUCUACUGGCUUUGCUAAGAGGACAGCCGCAUCGUCGAGCCACCCCAGCGAUGAAGGGAAGAAACCCUGGACUCUAUAUUUCACGCCACCUGCCUCUCAUCAACUUCCCCCAUUCUCCAUACGUAGCUGUUAUGAAAGAAAUAUUAAGAGAUUCACCUCCAUGAUAAUGCACAUAUAUUAGCACAGUUACCAUUCAUGUCAUUUGGUAGCCCCUGUAUGAUCAUGCACAUAUAUUAGCACAGCUAUCAUUUUCCCAUUGGACAGCCCCUGGAUGAUCGACGUUUCUCCCAGCAUUGGUGGAUUAUGCUGCCCUGCUGUGUCCCUGCAGAGUGAGGUAGUAGGUUGUAUAGUUCGGUGGAAUGAAUCACAUCCUUUUCAGGAGAUAACUAUACAGUCUAUUGCCUUCCCUGAGAGACACGAUGUCUGCAGGUUGCGUUUGAACAAGGUAGUUCUGAUUCCGGAAGGACGCAAGCCAUGACAGUGUGGGAAUUAUAGGUAUACUGAUAUUUCAGUAUUAGCUGCAAAACAUACAGUCACAGCAAAAAUGGCUUGAACACCUCAAGAAAUACCUGUUUUGUUUAUGUUUGCUUGUUUAUGCAAAAUAAAUAAAUAUAAUUAAGCUA